ACGGGGUGCAGCAGGCGCGAAACCUCCGCAAUGCACGCAAGUGCGACGGGGGAACCCCAAGUGCUACUCUUAACGGGGUGGCUUUUCAGAAGUGUAAAAAGCUUCUGGAAUAAGGGCUGGGCAAGACCGGUGCCAGCCGCCGCGGUAACACCGGCAGCUCAAGUGGUAGCCGCUUUUAUUGGGCCUAAAGCGUCCGUAGCCGGUCUGAUAAGUCUCUGGUGAAAUCCCACAGCUUAACUGUGGGAAUUGCUGGAGAUACUAUCAUGACUCGAGGUCGGGAGAGGCUGGAGGUACUCCCAGGGUAGGGGUGAAAUCCUAUAAUCCUGGGAGGACCACCUGUGGCGAAGGCGUCCAGCUGGAACGGACCUGACGGUGAGGGACGAAAGCCAGGGGCGCGAACCGGAUUAGAUACCCGGGUAGUCCUGGCCGUAAACGAUGCGGACUUGGUGUUGGGACGGCUUUGAGCUGUCCCAGUGCCGAAGGGAAGCUGUUAAGUCCGCCGCCUGGGAAGUACGGCCGCAAGGCUGAAACUUAAAGGAAUUGGCGGGGGAG
rnacentral:rRNA from 1 species